GACGAACGCUGGCGGCAUGCCUAAUACAUGCAAGUCGAGCGGACUAUCUGAGAAGCUUGCUUCUCAGAUAGUUAGCGGCGGACGGGUGAGUAACACGUAGGCAACCUGCCCUCAAGCUUGGGACAACCACCGGCAACGGUAGCUAAUACCGAAUACUUGUUUUCUUCGCCUGAAGGGAACUGGAAAGACGGAGCAAUCUGUCACUUGGGGAUGGGCCUGCGGCGCAUUAGCUAGUUGGUGAGGUAACGGCCCACCAAGGCGACGAUGCGUAGCCGACCUGCGAGGGUGAGCGGCCACAGCGGGACUGAGACACGGCCCACACGCCUACGGGAGGCAGCAGUAGGGAAUCUUCCGCAAUGGGCGAAAGCCUGACGGAGCAAUGCCGCGUGAGUGAUGAAGGUUUUCGGAUCGUAAAGCUCUGUUGCCAGGGAAGAACGCUUGGGAGAGUAACUGCUCUCAAGGUGACGGUACCUGAGAAGAAAGCCCCGGCUAACUACGUGCCAGCAGCCGCGGUAA
rnacentral:rRNA from 1 species